UACGGAGGGAGCUAGCGUUGUUCGGAAUUACUGGGCGUAAAGCGCACGUAGGCGGCUUUGUAAGUUAGAGGUGAAAGCCCGGGGCUCAACCCCCGGAAUUGCCUUUAAGACUGCAUCGCUUGAAUCCGGGAGAGGUGAGUGGAAUUCCGAGUGUAGAGGUGAAAUUCGUAGAUAUUCGGAAGAACACCAGUGGCGAAGGCGGCUGACUGGACAUGUAUUGACGCUGAGGUGCGAAAAGCGUGGGG
rnacentral:rRNA from 1 species